ACCUCAGUGAACAAAGUAGAUACGUUUCUGGACAUCACUUCUUUAACAGAAACUUUGGAUACCAAAGUUUGAUACAGGUCUAUACUGGAAAAGUUUUACAAAACGGUACUGAAAUGAAGCUGCAGAAAACAGGAGGAAACUCAAAAGGAGGUGCUCCAAUAUAACUGCAGAAAGCAGGCAACUGUAGAAGAGGGUACACUGCUGCAAAAUAUGCCCACAGCCCAAAUUUUCACAAGGAAACGAAGACCUGUCUGAGAGAAGGAAACAAAGUGCCAGAUAACAAGAGAGGGAUUAACGCGGCAGAGAUGACAAGUCACUCAAGAAAACAAGUCGCUAGACACCCCUAGUAGGCACUGAAGGAUCUGAUUUCAGCAGAUACUGGCAAGCACUUCUCCUGUGCUAAUAGCUACAAAUCCUCUGCUGCGUGCAUCCAAAGCUGCUGUAUAUGCAGGGGCC